rnacentral:tRNA from 1 species
GAUUCCUUAGCUCAGUUGGUAGAGCAUUACACUUUUAAUGUAGUGGUCCUGGGUUCGAGUCCCAGAGGGAUCACAA